rnacentral:tRNA from 1 species
GACCGCGUAGCUCAGUUGGAAGAGCAUUGGGCUAGUAUUCCAAAGGUCGUAGGGUUCGAAUCCCACCGUGGCCG